CUGUGUGAAUUCGUGUGAAUCGCAGACUGCUUUGAACAUCGACAUCUUGAACGCACAUUGCGGCUACAGGCUUGCCUGUGGCCACGUCUGA
rnacentral:rRNA from 1 species